rnacentral:rRNA from 5 species
UCUGGUGACAAUGGCAAGGAGGUCACACCUGUUCCCAUGCCGAACACAGAAGUUAAGC